rnacentral:rRNA from 1 species
GACGAACGCUGGCGGCGUGCUUAACACAUGCAAGUCGAACGGAAAGGCCCUGCUUUUGUGGGGUGCUCGAGUGGCGAACGGGUGAGUAACACGUGAGUAACCUGCCCUUGACUUUGGGAUAACUUCAGGAAACUGGGGCUAAUACCGGAUAGGAGCUCCUGCUGCAUGGUGGGGGUUGGAAAGUUUCGGCGGUUGGGGAUGGACUCGGGGCUUAUCAGCUUGUUGGUGGGGUAGUGGCUUACCAAGGCUUUGACGGGUAGCCGGCCUGGGAGGGUGACCGGCCACAGUGGGACUGAGGUACGGCCCAGAGUCCUACGGGAGGCAGCAGUGGGGAAUAUUGCAAAAUGGGCGGAAGCCUGAUGCAGCAACGCCGCGUGCGGGAUGACGGCCUUCGGGUUGUAAACCGCUUUCGCCUGUGACGAAGCGUGAGUGACGGUAAUGGGUAAAGAAGCACCGGCUAACUACGUG